UUUUUUCUACGUUGUUAUCAGUAUGGAAUUUUCCACAAUGGACGAAAGUCUGAUGGAGCAACGCCGCGUGAGUGAAGAAGGGUUUCGGCUCGUAAAGCUCUGUUGGUAGUGAAGAAAGAUAGAGGUAGUAACUGGCCUUUAUUUGACGGUAAUUACUUAGAAAGUCACGGCUAGCUACGUGCCAGCAGCCGCGGUAAUACGUAGGUGGCAAGCGUUGUCCGGAUUUAUUGGGCGU
rnacentral:rRNA from 1 species